rnacentral:rRNA from 1 species
UACGUAGGGUGCAAGCGUUGUCCGGAAUUAUUGGGCGUAAAGAGCUCGUAGGCGGUUUGUUGCGUCGGCUGUGAAAUCCCGAGGCUCAACCUCGGGUCUGCAGUCGAUACGAGCAAACUAGAGUGUUGCAGGGGAGACUGGAAUUCCUGGUGUAGCGGUGAAAUGCGCAGAUAUCAGGAGGAACACCGGUGGCGAAAGGCGGGGUCUCUGGGGCAACAACUGACGUGGAGGAGCGAAAAGCGUGGGGGAGCGAACAGG